CCUACGGGAGGCAGCAGUGGGGAAUAUUGGACAAUGGGCGCAAGCCUGAUCCAGCAAUGCCGCGUGAGUGAUGAAAGGCUUCCGGUUCGUAAAGCUCUUUUUCCAGGGAUGAUAAUGACAGUACCUGGAGAAUAAGCUCCGGCUAACUCCGUGCCAGCAGCCGCGGUAAUACGGAAGGAGC
rnacentral:rRNA from 1 species